rnacentral:rRNA from 1 species
UGGGGAAUAUUGCACAAUGGAGGGAACCCUGAUGCAGCGACGCCGCGUGAGUGAUGAAGGAAUUCGUUUCGUAAAACUCUGUUCUAUGGGAAGAAAAGGACUGUACCAUAGGAGAAAGCUCCGGCUAAAUACGUGCCAGCAGCCGCGGUAAUACGUAUGGGGCGAGCGUUGUCCGGAAUUAUUGGGCGUAAAGGGUGCGCAGGCGGCUUUACAAGUUGGAUGUGAAAUAUUGUGGCUCAACCACAAACGUGCAUCCAAAACUGCAAAGCUUGAGUUAAGGGGAGGUAAGUGGAAUUCCUGGUGUAGCGGUGGAAUGCGUAGAUAUCAGGAGGAAUACCGGUGGCGAAGGCGACUUACUGGCCUUAAACUGACGCUCAGGCACGAAAGCGUGGGGAGCAAACAGG